UUUUUCAUUUAAUUGCUGCUCUAUUCUCUCAAGUGACAGGAGCAGUUAUAUGCAUGGGCCACUGUAAAUUGAGAUGAAGUCUGUUUUGUCUUUUCUGCAUGGUCUAGACAUUU